rnacentral:rRNA from 1 species
UGGCUCAGGAUGAACGCUAGCGGAGCGCCUAACACAUGCAAGUCGAACGGUACUUCGGUACAGUGGCAAACGGGCGAGUAACGCGUACUUAACCUGCCCCGAAGUUGGGAACAACCAUGGAGACAUGGCUAAUUCCCGAUGUGUCCUCAGGAAUGAAAAUACUGAGGAGAAAGAUUUAUCGCUUUGGGAGGGAGGUGCGUCCUAUCAGGUAGUUGGUGAGGUAGUGGCUCACCAAGCCUAUGACGGGUAGCCGGUCUGAGAGGAUGUCCGGCCGCAAUGGGACUGAGACACGGCCCAUACUCCUAUGGGAGGCAGCAGUGGGGAAUAUUGGACAAUGGGCGAAAGCCUGAUCCAGCGACUCCGCGUGGAGGAUGACGCGUUACGGCGUGUAAACUCCUUUUCUGGUGGAAGACGAAUGACGGUACACCAGGAAUAAGCAUCGGCUAAUUAUGUGCCAGCAGCCGCGGUAAUACAUAAGAUGCAAGCGUUAUCCGGAAUUACUGGGCGUAAAGCGUCCGCAGCUGGACUUGUAAGUCUGUUUUCAAAUGCCCUGGCUCAACCAGGGGAAGGGAAUAGAUACUGCAAGUCUGGAGUUUACGAGGGGUUAGUGGAAUUUCCGGUGGAGCGGUGAAAUGUGUUGAUAUCGGAAAGAACGCCAAAAGCGAAGGCAGCUAACUAUUGUAAAACUGACAGUCAAGGACGAAAGCUUGGGGAGCGAACGGGAUUAGAUACCCCGGUAGUCCAAGCCGUAAAUGAUGUUCGCUAGGUGUUUCUCGUAGUUCAACGAGGAGUGCCGUAACCUAACGGGUUAAGCGAACCGCCUGGGUAGUAUACUCGCAAGAGUGAAACUCAAAGGGAUAGGCGGGGGAACACACAA